rnacentral:rRNA from 1 species
CCGCCUGCCCUGUGACUUAAUGUUUAACGGCCGCGGUAUUUUGACCGUGCGAAGGUAGCGAAACCACUUGUCUUUUAAAUGAAGACCUGUAUGAAUGGCACAACGAGGGCUUAACUGUCUCCUCUCCCAAGUCAAUGAAAUUGAUCCCCCCGUGCAGAAACGGGGAUAAGACCAUAAGACGAGAAGACCCUAUGGAGCUUUAGACCCAAAGCAGAUUAAGUCAAUACCCUUAAAAAAAAGAAUAAACCAAAAAACUCCUGCCCAAAUGUCUUUGGCUGGGGCGGCCGCGGGAAAAACAAAACUCCCACGUGGAACGGAAAAACACCUCUAAAACCAAGAGUGACAACUCUAAUAAACAGAACCUCUGACCUCAUGAUCCGGCAAUGCCGAUCAACGAACCAAGUUACCCUAGGGAUAACAGCGCAAUCCUCUUAUAGAGUCCCUAUCGACAAGAGGGUUUACGACCUCGAUGUUGGAUCAGGGUAUCCUAAUGGUGCAGCCGCUAUUAAGGGUUCGUUUGUUCAAACCCUACG